rnacentral:rRNA from 1 species
UACGGAGGGUGCGAGCGUUAAUCGGCAUUACUGGGCGUAAAGCGCACGUCGGCGGUCAGGCAAGUCGGGUGUGAAAGCCCUGGGCUCAACCUGGGAAUUGCAUUCGAAACUAUCUGACUCGAGUAUGGGAGAGGGAAGCGGAAUUUCCGGUGUAGCGGUGAAAUGCGUAGAUAUCGGAAGGAACACCAGUGGCGAAGGCGGCUUCCUGGACCAAUACUGACGCUGAGGUGCGAAAGCGUGGGGAGCAAACAGG